UACGUAGGGUGCAAGCGUUGUCCGGAAUUAUUGGGCGUAAAGAGCUCGUAGGCGGUUUGUCGCGUCUGCUGUGAAAACUCGGGGCCUAACUCCGGGCCUGCAGUGGGUACGGGCAGACUAGAGUGCGGUAGGGGAGGCUGGAAUUCCUGGUGUAGCGGUGAAAUGCGCAGAUAUCAGGAGGAACACCGGUGGCGAAGGCGGGUCUCUGGGCCGUAACUGACGCUGAGGAGCGAAAGCGUGGGGAGCGAACAGG
rnacentral:rRNA from 1 species